AUGGGGGUAAUCCAUCCAUCCAUCUGCAAACCGCUUAUCCUGCACACAGGGUGUCGCUGUAGUCUAUCUGGAGUUUAUCCCAGCCAACUCCAGGCGAGAGACAGGUUCACACUGGACUGGUCGCCAGCCAAUCGCAGGGCUACACAGACACAAACAAACAUUCACGCGCACAUCCACGGGCAAUUUAGAGUCACCAGUCAACCUGAUCCCCAGAGCAUGUCUUUGGACUGUGGGAGGAAGCCGGAGAACCCGGAGAGAACCCACGCAGACACAAUUCAGCUGGGACAUACGUCUUCCAAACAGUCAAAGUGCUUCAACCCUUCAUCCUCACACUGAUGACAGUGUCUCACCCGAGUGCAGGUCAACACGCGUGUUAGCAGGACCCGGGAUCGAACCACCGAGCCACUGGUUGAAGGAAGACCCACAGUCACCCUGAUCAGCCGGUAGCUGGACGCGUGAGGACAAGUGAGGACGCAGCAUGAGUUCAAACUCCACCUGCUCCACAACAUGACCAGGACACAUUCAAAAGGCCGUGGAGGGGAAGACAGUGAAAGCCUUGCUGCAUUCGGCCUGUUCGUUUAUGGGAUAUUUCUUUGAGAAGAAUCUCAUCUUGAGUUGUGACCACUGAGAACAGAAAGAACAACUGGCAACAGCUGCCUGGAGACAUCACGUCUAUUCACUUGACCGGAGCAAAAUACACUACAAGGUGUCACAUUGUCUGGUGUCUGGCAGAAAAAUAAAACAUUUCAGCCGGGUUGAUUAAAAGCCAGACAUGAAGAUUGAAUGUGUACUGAAGUAGAGCCCUGCGUAUGCGGCCUACGGCACGACGUUGUGGGGGAUUUCUGCUGAAGUGAAAGUUUCAAAUUAGACUAACGAAUUGCAUGAUCACACUUAAUAGGGGAGUUUGUUAAUCAGCGAGGGACAUUUGGUUUUUUCUGACUGACUGAUAAAUGUUUCAGGGUGAUUUGACUUUUAAUUCACAAAGGAAGAAAUCAUAUAAAUGUGAAAAAUUGAAGGUUUUUUUUAAUACAUAUUUCAUUUCAGAUAACUAAUUGUUAUGAAUCUGAAAUAUACACUGACAUAAAGGAUUAUUAGGAACACCAUACUAAUACUGUGUUUGACCCCCUUUCGCCUUCAGAACUGCCUUAAUUGUUCGUGGCAUUGAUUCAGCAUUCUUUAGAAAUGUUGGCCCAUAUUGAUAGGACAGCAUCUUGCAGUUGAUGGAGAUUUGUGGGAUGCACAUCCAGGGCACGAAGCUCCCGUUCCACCACAUCCCAAAGAUGCUCUAUUGGGUUGAGAUCUGGUGACUGUGGGGGCCAUGUUAGUACAGUGAACUCAUUGUCAUGUUCAAGAAACCAAUUUCAAAUGAUUGGAGCUUUGUGACACGGUGCAUUAUCCUGCUGGAAGUAGCCAUCAGAGGAUGGGUACAUGGUGCCAUAAAGCGAUGGACAUGGUCAGAAAUAAUGCUCACGUAGGCCGUGGCAUUUAAACGAUGCCCAAUUGGGGCAUCAAUUGGGGCACCCCCAAAAGGGGCCUAAAGUGUGCCAAGAAAACAUCCCCCACACCAUUACACCACCACCAGCAGCCUGCACAGUGGUAACAAGGCAUGAUGGAUCCAUGUUCUUGUGACGCACACAAAAUGUAUGGUCACAUUUGUAUUUAAUUUGUAUUAAUUUGGAAUGAAGAACAUGUCUUCAUGGUGUGUGGUGCUAUCUAUGGCCAGUAGGUGACAGUGCAGCGCUGUGGUUUCGCCCGGCCGCCCUCACUCUGUAUUUGCGCGUGCAGCGUCUCACUGCUUGAGAAGACGUCUGCCUGUGUCAUUAAUUUCGAUUUUUCUCAGGUCCGUAACCGGUCAAGUGCAUUAAGCAAAUUUGAAUGAACAAUUUUAGGUGAUCGGAUUUAACUACCUAAUAUUUUUAUGAAUUACUGGGUUUUGUUUAGUAGCUAAUGUUACGUUGCUAAGAAAGACCGACUGCUGAGCGCUAGCUAGAAUGCUAGUAGCCCUGUGUAACCUCCUUGUUUUAUCUGGCUCCUAUACACUAAUCUGAUUAUAAAGGAAAAGUAUAAUCACUUCGUUUUGUUAUGUGAUGUGAUGUUAGGUCGACUUAGAUUCUGUAUGUUAAUUCAGUUGACUUCAAUAUGUGUUUAAAAAUGUCUAUUAGCAUUUGUUAGCCGUUAGCUGUAGCAGAAGCAGUGCCGCCAUCUUCAAUGUGUCCUUCUCACGGACGCCACAGUAGCUGUGGGCACCUUGCCAAAGUCACGGUUAUGUUGUCAAAGAGUAUGGAUUUAAUCCAUGAUACUGAUGCAAUCCUCUAUGGUUUGGUCUGUGAAUUUGUAUUGUUUGUAUUUUGAAGUAUGUUGUCUGGCUCAAACGUAGACAUGUGGAUAUGCUUGCUUUCUCCUAAAUUGUGAAAUAAAUUGUCAUUGCUUGAGAAGACGCUGAAAGAAGAAGCCACACGUCUGCCUGUGUCAUUAAUUUCAGAUUUUUCUCAGUCCGUCUCAGGCACAAGUCUGUCAUCAGGCUCUCUCAUCCUGAGACCUGUAACAUUCUCAUUCUGUUUACGCCAAACUUUGACUCUACCAUCUGAAUGUCUCAACAGAAAUCGAGACUCGUCAGACCAGGCAACAUUUUUCCAACUGUCCAACUUUGGUGAGCUCUUGCAAAUUGUAGCCUCUUUUUCCUAUUUGUAGUGGAGAUGAGUGGUACCCGGUGGGGUCUUCUGCUGUUGUAGCCCAUCCGCCUCAAGGUUGUGCGUGUUGUGGCUUCACAAAUGCUUUGCUGCAUACCUCGGUUGUAACAAGUGGUUAUUUCAGUCAAAGUUGCUCUUCUAUCAGCUUGAAUCAGUCGGCCCAUUCUCCUCUGACCUCUAGCAUCAACAAGGCAUUUUCGCCCACAGGACUGCCGCAUACUGGAUGUUUUUCCCUUUUCACAUCAUUCUUUGUAAACCUGUAAAUCCCAGUAACUGAGCAGAUUGUGAAAUACUCAGACCGGCCCGUCUGGCACCAACAACCAUGCCACGCUCAAAAUUGCUUAAAUCACCUUUCUUUCCCAUUCUGACAUUCAGUUUGGAGUUCAGGAGAUUGUCUUGACCCUGAAUGCAUUGAAGAAACUGCUAUGUGAUUGGUUGAUUAGAUAAUUGCAUUAAUGAGAAAUUGAACAGGUGUUCUUAAUAAUCCUUUAGUUGAGUGUACAAUAUAAUACAUAUUUUUGUAAACAACCUUAAUUUCAAUAGAUAAUAUUGUUUACAAGUGCACCUGGAGGAAAACAAAAUAACAUUUACAUUCCCCCCUCUCUCAGCCAUGAUCUACCUCAACAGCAAAUCUGGUUUGUGAGCUCCUAUCAAGAAUAAAGACCGUGGUCCACAACGGUACAUAUUUAAAUUCUUCUCACAACAGCAUCUCCACAUCAGGCGGAGGGAGACGCUGGCUGGAUUUGGACUCCUUGGGAAUACAGUUGCUUCUGAGCCGGACCCGUCCUCAGCCUCACAUGGGGCUCUGGUUGAGCUGUUUCCACUGGUGCGUGCCGGCAGGUAGAGACAGGUUGGCCAUUAGCUCGUGAACAGAUGCAAAUAUCGUACACUCCCCUGAAAGGAAGACAGAAAAAAUGAGAAAUUAAUUUUAAGAUCAAGUAUAAAUAAGCACAAUGAUUAGUCAGUUGGCACCAGUUUCAGUUUAGCAAAUUUGACAAUGUGUCAGGCGGGUGCAUUGAAGGCAGGACUCAAAUGCAGAGUUUUUUAGAAAAAAGUCAAAAAACUCCAAAAAAGGCACAAACGAGGUCAGCGAACAGACAGAGAAUCACAGUGACGUGACCCAGGGAGAACAGAGGCAAGAAACUACAAAAUAAAACCAGACAUGAACCCAAACCGUGACAGAACUCCCCCCUCAAGGGCCAAAUUCUAGAUGACCCUAACCAGACCAGGAACAGACAAGGGGCGGGAGGGAGGGAAAACAGGGGGGGGCCUUGUGUCAUGGUUUGGGUUCAUGUCUGGUUUUAUUUUGUAGUUUCUUGCCUCUGUUCUCCCUGGGUCACAUGGGAUCCGCCAGUGGCCAUGUCGUACACAAUGGGCACGCGCAGGGUUGCGUUCACGUGUCAGACGUUCGCUCGGAGUAAAUGAUCCUCCGACCAGGACCACCCCCCUCCAACCCGCACUAUCUCCACCCUCCACCCCCCCAAUCUAGUUUGUUGAACCGCUCUUAGUCUGGACUCUCGCCUGAAGGCUGUUGGUCUUGUUGGGAUACCAAGAGACAACACCGCUCACAGGGUCACUGAGCCACUCAAACUCCUCCACCACGUUAACGUGGCGGUUCAUGGAGGAGAUGACUAUGUGUAUGUGUAUUUAUGUGUAAUUAUGUGUAUGACUAUAUGUAUUUAUGUGUAUGACUAUGUGUAUGUGUAUUUAUGUGUAAUUAUGUGUAUGACUAUAUGUAUUUAUGUGUAUGACUAUGUGUAUGUGUNNNNNNNNNNUAUUAUGUGCAUGACUAUAUGUAUUUAUGUGUAUGACUAUGUGUAUGUGUAUUUAUGUGUAUGUGUGUGACUAUGUGUAUGUGUAUGUGUGUGACUAUGUGUGUAUAUAUGAUGCAUAAGUGAGGUGUUUCUACUGGUGUUCAGUCUGUGAUGUUCAGUCUGUGAUGUUCAGUCUGUGAUGUUCAGCCCUGGGGGGUCUUCUUCCCCUUAUGGCUCUUCUCUUCUUUUUUCAGACCUCUUAGUCUCUUGGUCCUGCAUUUUGCGCUUCAUCUUGUCCAUCUCCGUCUGUCUGUCUUGCAUCCUUCUUCCAAAGAUGCCUCUCUUCUUCUUCUUCUUCAAGUCCAGACAGAUGUUUUCAAGGAGUGUGUUUUGGUCCUGCAACUGUUUCACCUUGGUGAUCACAAUUUGAUUUUCUUUGGUCAACUCCUCCAUCUGUUGGAGUGUGAUGAUUUUGAGGGAUAUGUUCUCCUCUUGGCGCUUUUGUUUCUCAGCCAUACUAUCCCUCCAGUCCUUUAGCAGUUUGUUUUCUGCCUCCAGCUGGUGGUUGUAGGCCCGCUGCUCGUUCAACUUCUCCUCCAGAGCAAGGUUGUCGGAGUACAGUGUUGUUACU
ensembl:lncRNA